rnacentral:rRNA from 1 species
GACGAACGCUGGCGGCGUGCUUAACACAUGCAAGUCGAGCGGUAAGGCCUCUUCGGGGGUACACGAGCGGCGAACGGGUGAGUAACACGUGGGUGACCUGCCCUCAGCUCUGGGAUAAGCCUGGGAAACUGGGUCUAAUACCGGAUAUGACCUUUCCUCGCAUGGGGUUUGGUGGAAAGUUUUUUCGGCUGGGGAUGGGCCCGCGGCCUAUCAGCUUGUUGGUGGGGUGAUGGCCUACAAAGGCGACGACGGGUAGCCGGCCUGAGAGGGCGACCGGCCAAACUGGGACUGGGACACGUCCCGAACUCCUAGGGGAGGCGGCAGGGGGAAAAGUUGGGAAGUGGGCGGAAGCCUGACGCGGCGAGGCCGCGGGGGGGAUGACGGCCUUCGGGUUGUAAACCUCUUUCGACCCCGACGAAUUGGACGGUAGGGGUAGAAGAAGCACCGGCCAACUACGU